UACAGAGGUCUCAAGCGUUGUUCGGAUUCAUUGGGCGUAAAGGGUGCGUAGGCGGCGCGGUAAGUCGGGUGUGAAAUUUCGAGGCUUAAUUUCGAAACUGCAUUCGAUACUGCCGUGCUCGAGGACUGGAGAGGAGACUGGAAUUUACGGUGUAGCGGUGAAAUGCGUAGAUAUCGUAAGGAAGACCAGUGGCGAAGGCGGGUCUCUGGACAGUUCCUGACGCUGAGGCACGAAGGCCAGGGGAGCAAACGGG
rnacentral:rRNA from 1 species